UGGUGCCAGCAGCCGCGGUAAUUCCAGCUCCAAUAGCGUAUAUUAAAGUUGUUGCGGUUAAAAAGCUCGUAGUUGAAUCUGUGUGCCACGCUGUCGGUUCAUCGCUCGCGAUGUUUAACUGACAUGAUUGUGGGACGUCCUACCGGUGGGCUUAGCCUCUCGGGGCGGCCCAGCUAAUAUCCCAUCGCGGUGCUCUUCAUCGAGUGUCGAGGUGGGCCGGUACGUUUACUUUGAACAAAUUAGAGUGCUCAAAGCAGGCUAUGUUCGCCUGAAUACUGUGUGCAUGGAAUAAUGGAAUAGGACCUCGGUUCUAUUUUGUUGGUUUUCGGAACCCCGAGGUAAUGAUUAAUAGGGACAGAUGGGGGCAUUCGUAUUGCGACGUUAGAGGUGAAAUUCUUGGAUCGUCGCAAGACGGACAGAAGCGAAAGCAUUUGCCAAAAAUGUUUUCAUUAAUCAAGAACGAAAGUUAGAGGUUCGAAGGCGAUCAGAUACCGCCCUAGUUCUAACCAUAAACGAUGCCAGCUAGCGAUCCGCCGAAGUUCCUCCGAUGACUCGGCGGGCAGCUUCCGGGAAACCAAAGCUUUUGGGUUCCGGGGGAAGUAUGGUUGCAAAGCUGAAACUUAAAGGAAUUGACGGAAGGGCACCACCAGGAGUGGAGCCUGCGGCUUAAUUUGACUCAACACGGGAAACCUCACCAGGCCCGGACACCGGAAGGAUUGACAGAUUGAUAGCUCUUUCUUGAUUCGGUGGGUGGUGGUGCAUGGCCGUUCUUAGUUGGUGGAGCGAUUUGUCUGGUUAAUUCCGAUAACGAACGAGACUCUAGCCUGCUAAAUAGGCGUACCUUCUGGUAUCUCGAAGGCCCCCGGCUCUGGUCGGGUGGUUUUUACUACCGACGUACAAACAAAUCUUCUUAGAGGGACAGGCGGCGUCUAGCCGCACGAGAUUGAGCAAUAACAGAUCCGUGAUGCCCUUAGAGGUUCUGCGCCGCACGCGCGCUAUACUGAAGGAAUCAGCGUGUCCUCCCUGUCCGAAAGGUCCGGGUAACCCGCUGAACCUCCUUCGUGCUAGGGAUUGGGGCUUGCAAUUAUUCCCCAUGAACGAGGAAUUCCCAGUAAGCGCGAGUCAUAAGCUCGCGUUGAUUACGUCCCUGCCCUUUGUACACACCGCCCGUCGCUACUACCGAUUGAAUGAUUUAGUGAGGUCUUCGGACUGGUGCGCGGCAAUGUAUUCUUACGUUGCCGAUUGUGUCGGGAAGAUGACCAAACUUGAUCAUUUAGAGGAAGUAAAAGUCGUAACAAGGUUUCCGUAGGUGAACCUGCGGAAG
rnacentral:rRNA from 1 species